rnacentral:rRNA from 1 species
AGCGGGGAGGUAGCAAUACCUUUGCCGGCGACCGGCGCACGGGUGAGUAACACGUAUGCAAUCCACCUGUAACAGGGGGAUAACCCGGAGAAAUCCGGACUAAUACCCCAUGAUAUGGGCGCUCCGCAUGGAGGGCCCAUUAAAGAGAGCAAUCUUGGUUACAGACGAGCAUGCGCUCCAUUAGCCAGUUGGCGGGGUAACGGCCCACCAAGGCGACGAUCGGUAGCCGACCUGAGAGGGUGAUCGGCCACAUUGGGACUGAGACACGGCCCAAACUCC